rnacentral:lncRNA from 1 species
GCGCAGAGUGGGGCGCGGGGCGCGUGCUAGGCAUCUGCAGGAGCGGGGCAAUGCCCAGGCGUCUCCUCCCCGGGGAAGAGAAAGAGAAACAGAGCCCGGCCUCGCUCCGGCUCUCUGGCUGUGCCUCUCCUCUCUCAGCCCGUGCUUAGCAUUACUUCCCCCCCGCCGCCCGCGCUCCCCCCGCCCUAGUUGCAGGGUUAUUUCAGGACACAGCCCGCCUCUCUCGCUCGGAAGCGCGGCUGAAGCCUGCCCGGCGUCUCCCGCGCUCAGACUGGCGUUUAUCAGUGUUAGAUGGAAUCCUGUGGAUGAGAGUGAAUGGAAAAGGAGGUGAAGAGCUUAUAUGUUUCAGCAACUGUGGG